rnacentral:rRNA from 1 species
GUACGGGAGGCAGCAGUGGGGAAUUUUGCGCAAUGGGCGAAAGCCUGACGCAGCAACGCCGCGUGGAGGAUGAAGGUUCUCUGAAUCGUAAACUCCUGUCGGCCGGGAAGAAUGGCCGGGGCGCUAAUCAGCCCCGACUUGACUGUACCGGCAAAGGAAGCCCCGGCUAACUCCGUGCCAGCAGCCGCGGUAAUACGGAGGGGGCAAGCGUUACUCGGAAUUAUUGGGCGUAAAGGGCGCGUAGGCGGCCGUGUGCGUCAGAGGUGAAAUCCCCGGGCUUAACCCGGGAACUGCCUCUGAUACGGCAUGGCUUGAGUCCGGGAGAGGGGAGCAGAAUUCCCAGUGUAGCGGUGAAAUGCGUAGAUAUUGGGAGGAAUACCAGUGGCGAAGGCGGCUCCCUGGACCGGUACUGACGCUGAGGCGCGAAAGCGUGGGUAGCAAACAGGAUUAGAUACCCUGGU